UACGUAGGGACCGAGCGUUGUCCGGAAUCAUUGGGCGUAAAGAGCGUGUAGGCGGCUAUUUAAGUCCUGCGUGAAAUCCUGCGGCUCAACCGCAGACGGUCGUGGGAAACUGGAUGGCUAGAGUGCGGGAGAGGAGAGUGGAAUUCCCGGUGUAGCGGUGAGAUGCGCAGAUAUCGGGAAGAACACCCGUGGCGAAGGCGGCUCUCUGGAACGCAACUGACGCUGAGACGCGAAAGCGUGGGGAGCAAACAGG
rnacentral:rRNA from 1 species